AUUGAACGCUGGCGGCAUGCUUUACACAUGCAAGUCGAACGGCAGCGCGGGGCAACCUGGCGGCGAGUGGCGAACGGGUGAGUAAUAUAUCGGAACGUACCCAGAAGUGGGGGAUAACGUAGCGAAAGUUACGCUAAUACCGCAUACGAUCUACGGAUGAAAGUGGGGGACCUUCGGGCCUCAUGCUUUUGGAGCGGCCGAUAUCUGAUUAGCUAGUUGGUGAGGUAAAGGCUCACCAAGGCGACGAUCAGUAGCUGGUCUGAGAGGACGGCCAGCCACGCUGGGACUGAGACACGGCCCAGACUCCUACGGGAGGCAGCAGUGGGGAAUUUUGGACAAUGGGCGCAAGCCUGAUCCAGCAAUGCCGCGUGAGUGAAGAAGGCCUUCGGGUUGUAAAGCUCUUUUGUCAGGGAAGAAACGGCCGAGGAUAAUACCUUCGGCUAAUGACGGUACCUGCAGAAAAAGCACCGGCUAACUACGUGCCAGCCGCCGCGGUAA
rnacentral:rRNA from 1 species